UGGCGGACACCAGCACGGCUGGUUAUCUCUUAUGGCUAAGCUGCUCACGGUAGAAAUAGUUCGAGGUACAGCCACACGACCUUGAGCGGUAGUGUCGUUGUUUACACUUUUGAAAAAAAUAACCUUACUAGUGUUUGGCAGACGUUAUGAAUUGUGUUCAGCUUCAACGUAGUGGUCAUUUGUAUGGAUUUGAACAGUGGUUGUUGCUUGGUUUGGUGAUCAUGUAAUUAUUUCUUAUCGAGUGACUUUUCCCUUGACGUGUACAAGUAUGUAUACCAAGAAUUGCUGUGUGCCGGGAUGCGAAAAUAGGACUGAAAGUCGCCACAGAUUUCCACGUGUUUCCGAUGUAGAAAGGUUUGAAGUUUGGAAACGUGUUAUUGCAGCACCAAGAUUUGCCCAAAUAACCAACGAGCAUAUAUACAAAGUAUACCGAAUUUGUAAUUGCCAUUUUCGUGAUGAUUGCUUCAGUCCAGGAACAAAGAGGCUUAACGCCAAUUCAAUUCCAACACUGCUUUUGCCAGUUACCAACGAAGAGAUUUGUGAAAGACAAGCAUCUUCAAGCAUGGAUUGUUCAUCGCUUCCUGAGCAAGCUGAGGAAAAUACUGUGGGCACACAACCUGCUACAGUUACCAACGAAGAGAUUUGUGAAAGACAAGCAUCUUCAAGCAUGGAUUGUUCAUUGCUUCCUGAGCAAGCUGAGGAAAAUACUGUCGGCACACAACCUGCUACAGGUAUGAUUGAAGUUGAUAUUGUAGACUUAGGUGUUAUAUUCUCUGUAGAUUGGUUUUAGCUUCAAAUAGCCUGAAGAACUAUAAUUUUUAUUGGUACUUUGUGAUUAACGCCACCGUAGCCGUUGGUUACAGUAGUUGCGGCGGCGGCCAUGUUGGUUAUUGUUUACGUUCACAUUUCUGAUUUUUCGGUAAAAUAUUUCUGUCCUGCAAAUAUAAAAUUGUGUUUUGUUCUGUUUUUGGCAAAUCCCAAAUUCACAUUUUCUUAGUAUUCAGAAAUGGCAUCAUAAAUCAGCAAUAUAGUGACUGACCAAAACAAACCUAACCCUUUGUCUCGGAACAUAGAUCUGUUUGAAAUGUUUAAUAUUUAAUGUUAAAUCAAAACCCUGUUAACAGUCAAAAAUUGAAAUUAAAAAGAUUGAAGGUUUAAUGUUAAAUAAAACCCCGUUAACAGUAAAAAAUUAAAAUUAAAAAAAAAAAUUGAAGGGUUAUGUUAGGUUAGGUCAGUCACAGCAUGCUUGUUUACAUUGUAAACGUCUGGUUUAGCGGCUGCGGUGGCGUUAAUCUCAAAGUACCUUUUUAUUAUUCAACAUUAGGCUAUUCCUUACUUACUGGCCACAGAUCCUUCAUUAUCCUUUAUUUAGUGUAACUAAUUUUUUUCAUGUAAUGUGUGUGAUUUGAAAAGGCAUGUUGCCAAGCCCUUAUUCUUAAUACAUAUAUAAAGGAUGAUUUUCUGAAUGUCAGUUUGAAAUGUAAUUCCGCAAUUCUUUUACCUAAUAGGUUUCAGAAGCACACCUUCAGUGGACAUCAGCAGAAAGAAAAGAAAAUGCCUUUUUCCUUUAUUAAAAGCAGUGGGUUCUC